rnacentral:rRNA from 1 species
UCGAGCGAACGGACGAGAAGCUUGCUUCUCUGAUGUUAGCGGCGGACGGGUGAGUAACACGUGGAUAACCUACCUAUAAGACUGGGAUAACUUCGGGAAACCGGAGCUAAUACCGGAUAAUAUUUUGAACCGCAUGGUUCAAAAGUGAAAGACGGUCUUGCUGUCACUUAUAGAUGGAUCCGCGCUGCAUUAGCUAGUUGGUAAGGUAACGGCUUACCAAGGCAACGAUGCAUAGCCGACCUGAGAGGGUGAUCGGCCACACUGGAACUGAGACACGGUCCAGACUCCUACGGGAGGCAGCAGUAGGGAAUCUUCCGCAAUGGGCGAAAGCCUGACGGAGCAACGCCGCGUGAGUGAUGAAGGUCUUCGGAUCGUAAAACUCUGUUAUUAGGGAAGAACAUAUGUGUAAGUAACUGUGCACAUCUUGACGGUACCUAAUCAGAAAGCCACGGCUAACUACGUGCCAGCAGCCGCGGUAAUACGUAGGUGGCAAGCGUUAUCCGGAAUUAUUGGGCGUAAAGCGCGCGUAGGCGGUUUUUUAAGUCUGAUGUGAAAGCCCACGGCUCAACCGUGGAGGGUCAUUGGAAACUGGAAAACUUGAGUGCAGAAGAGGAAAGUGGAAUUCCAUGUGUAGCGGUGAAAUGCGCAGAGAUAUGGAGGAACACCAGUGGCGAAGGCGACUUUCUGGUCUGUAACUGACGCUGAUGUGCGAAAGCGUGGGGAUCAAACAGGAUUAGAUACCCUGGUAGUCCACGCCGUAAACGAUGAGUGCUAAGUGUUAGGGGGUUUCCGCCCCUUAGUGCUGCAGCUAACGCAUUAAGCACUCCGCCUGGGGAGUACGACCGCAAGGUUGAAACUCAAAGGAAUUGACGGGGACCCGCACAAGCGGUGGAGCAUGUGGUUUAAUUCGAAGCAACGCGAAGAACCUUACCAAAUCUUGACAUCCUUUGACAACUCUAGAGA